rfam:Myotis brandtii contig312998, whole genome shotgun sequence.
CAUUCGGGGUGGGGGUCCCUCAGCUCAGAUUGCGAGAGGGCACAGGCCAGGCCGAGGGACCCCAGCAGUGCACG